AUUGAACGCUGGCGGCAGGCCUAACACAUGCAAGUCGAACGAGUGGCGGACGGGUGAGUAAUGUCUGGGAAACUGCCUGAUGGAGGGGGAUAACUACUGGAAACGGUAGCUAAUACCGAAUACCCUCGGUUGUGACCAGAUGGUAUUGGCUAGUAGGUGGGGUAACGGCUCACCUAGGCGACGAUCCCUCGCUGGUCUGAGAGGAGGACCAGCCACACUGGAACUGAGACACGGUCCAGACUCCGACGGGAGGCAUGAGUGGGGAAUAUUGCACAAUGGGCGCAAGCCUAAUGCAGCCAUGCCGCGUGUAUGAAGAAGGCCUUCGGGUUGUAAAGUACUUUCAGCGGGGAGGCGUUACCCGCAGAAGAAGCACCGGCUGACUCCGUGCCAGCAGCCGCGGUAAUUC
rnacentral:rRNA from 1 species